rnacentral:Y_RNA from 1 species
GGCUGGUCCAAGUGCAGUGGUGUUUAUAACUGUCUGAUCACAACCAGUUAUAGAUUCCUUUGUUCCUUCUCCACUCCCACUGCUUCAGUUGACUAGCCUUAA